rnacentral:rRNA from 1 species
AGUGAACGCUGGCGGUAGGCCUAACACAUGCAAGUCGAACGGCAGCACAGUAAGAGCCUGCUCUUACGGGUGGCGAGUGGCGGACGGGUGAGGAAUACAUCGGAAUCUACUUUUUCGUGGGGGAUAACGUAGGGAAACUUACGCUAAUACCGCAUACGACCUACGGGUGAAAGCAGGGGAUCUUCGGACCUUGCGCGAUUGAAUGAGCCGAUGUCGGAUUAGCUAGUUGGCGGGGUAAAGGCCCACCAAGGCGACGAUCCGUAGCUGGUCUGAGAGGAUGUUCAGCCACACUGGAACUGAGACACGGUCCAGACUCCUACGGGAGGCAGCAGUGGGGAAUAUUGGACAAUGGGCGCAAGCCUGAUCCAGCCAUACCGCGUGGGUGAAGAAGGCCUUCGGGUUGUAAAGCCCUUUUGUUGGGAAAGAAAAGCAGCAGGUUAAUACCCCGCUGUUCUGACGGUACCCAAAGAAUAAGCACCGGCUAACUUCGUG